GAUAGACACAACAAGGAAGGAAAUCUGGAGCCCAUCCACUGCUUGUGAAAUGAAAUACUCGUUUCCUAGACUGGUUGGGGAUAUACCCCCUCUGCGUCUGACGUAGUUCGUAGUUGGGCUGAAGAAUCCUCAAAUUACAAUUACCAAUAUAACUCCUGCUAUGGUAUCUGCGGACACUACACAAAGGUUGUUUGGGCAAAAACAGAAUAUGUCGGCUGU